UUUGAUUUUGUUUUCAGGUCUUCUUGGCUGGUUGUGCCCGUGCAUUCUUCAAUGCAUGGUCAGUAGUAAAGCUGGUGAGUGUUGUUGUGUGGGAUUCAUGUGUCCAAUUGCCUUGAGAACCAAGAUCAGGACAAGACAUAACAUUGCGGUAAGUGAUGGCUCUUUCUCGUCUUCUAACGGCGUAGCAUGCCAAAGCGCCUGGGUAUACGAGACUGGGUCCUUUAGGCAGAGCAGUUUAGAACUGACAGAGCUAUGUAGUAUGCAGCCAAUUCAAAAAAGGUUGCCCUUUGCAAACCUUAAACUCUAAAUCUUAAACUCCAAGCGUACAAAGCUUAAUGGGAGCACAAGUUUCAAUCUUAUAGUAGUUGAAUAUUGCAGCUAUUUGUGAAUAAAUGCAUGGGCCCCCUCAUGCUUUGCAAGCUUAGAGUUUAAAGUUUAAGGUUUAGAGUUUAAGGUAUGCAAAGGACAAACUUUUUUGAAUAGUAAAUAAAACUAGUUUAGUUUAGGUUUCCACCUGUAGUAUGCAUGGUAACAUUUAAACCAGUAAGAGAGAUGGGUCGUACUGGUGCUCUAGGGGAGAACGGUUUAGAUCCAAUAUAAAUAUAGUUAGUUAAUUAUUUCAUUGUUUAUUUCGAAAGGGAAGUAUUGUGGGGGACUCUCAAGCAGUGUCAUGCUGUGGGAUCUGUGCAAUGUGUCAAAUGGCAAGAGAACUCAACAUCCACGGAAUUUAACCAUCAAAUAUAAACGACACACUUUUUAUCUUUUAAAACUGUUUGUAAUGGAACAUUAAGUAUUGUUUAUAAUCUAAAAUUGUAAUUGUUGAUAAGAUAAUUUGCUGUGCCUAUAUCAAAUGGUAAAACCAACAAACAAAUGUAUGUCGAAUUUAUUUUGCCAGACUUGCCAGGGAAUUGUUUUUCUACAUUCAAGCGACUUUUCAGAAGCUUUUCAGAACACCGUUUUGAAACAUUUGUAUAAUGUUAUGAAACUAUUAGUACUUUAUACUAGAAUAGAAUGUUUGUUU